rnacentral:rRNA from 1 species
GGCAUGGCAGGAAUCCUGAAGAGAUUUGGAGUGCUCGAAAGAGAACCUGCACACAGGUGCUGCAUGGCUGUCGUCAGCUCGUGUCGUGAGAUGUUGGGUUAAGUCCCGCAACGAGCGCAACCCUUGCCAUUAGUUGCUACGAAAGGGCACUCUAAUGGGACUGCCGGUGACAAACCGGAGGAAAGGUGGGGAUGACGUCAAGUCCUCAUGGCCCUUAUAGGUGGGGCUACACACGUCAUACAAUGGCCGGUACAGAGGGUAGCCAACCCGCGAGGGGGAGCCAAUCCCACAAAGCCGGUCGUAGUCCGGAUCGCAGUCUGCAACUCGACUGCGUGAAGUCGGAAUCGCUAGUAAUCGCGGAUCAGCAUGUCCGCGGUCGAAUACGUUCCCGGGCCUU